CAGCCGCGCGGUAAUACGUAGGGUGCAAGCGUUAAUCAGAAUUACUGGGCGUAAAGCGUGCGCAGGCGGUUUGUUAAGACGGAUGUGAAAUCCCCGGGCUCAACCUGGGAACUGCAUUCGUGACUGGCAAGCUAGAGUAUGGCAGAGGGGGGUGGAAUUCCACGUGUAGCAGUGAAAUGCGUAGAGAUGUGGGGGAACACCGAUGGCGAAGGCAGCCCCCUGGGCCAACACUGACGCUCAUGCACGAAAGCGUGGGGAGCAAACAGGAUUAGAUACCCCAGUAGUCCCUGUCUCUUAUACA
rnacentral:rRNA from 1 species